CCCGACUGCUAUUUGGGUGAGAAUAAGCCAUGCAAGUUGAAUGGAAUGCCAAAAUAUUCCAUGGCAAACUGCUCAAUAACACGUGAUCAACUUACCCUAUGGAAAACAAUAACCUCUGGAAACGGAGGAUAAUGGUUUAUAGUUGAAAAGGCUUGGAAAAGUUUUUCAAUAAAAGGGAAUAAUAAAAAUGGUUAUUAUUUUGCCAUAGGAUAGGAUUGCGGUCGAUUAUGGCCGUUGGUGAGGUAAUGGCUCACCAAACCAAUAAUCGAUAGGGGCCGUGAGAGCGGGAGCCCCGAGAUGGGUACUGAGACAACGACCCAGGCCUUACGAGGCGCAGCAGGCGCGAAAACUCCGCAAUACACGAAAGUGUGACGGGGUUACCCAAAGUGCUUAAUAUUUAAGCUGUGGUAAGUGUGUAAUGUACCUUACUAGAAAGGAGAGGGCAAGGCUGGUGCCAGCCGCCGCGGUAAAACCAGCUCUUCAAGUGGUCGGGAUAUUUAUUGGGCUUAAAGUGUCCGUAGCUUGUAUAAUAAGUUCCUGGUAAAAUCUAAUAGAAU
rnacentral:rRNA from 1 species